rnacentral:rRNA from 1 species
CUUGGUCAUUUAGAGGAAGUAAAAGUCGUAACAAGGUCUCCGUUGGUGAACCAGCGGAGGGAUCAUUACAGGACUCGCAAGACUCCUUCACCCUGUGAACCUCACUACAAGCACGUUGCUUCGGCGGGUGUCCCGGCGGGGGUUUUCCCUCGCCGGGGCGCACAGCCCGCCGGCAGCCUACUAUACUCUGUCUCUUUGCGUUGGCAUCUCGAGAAAAAACAAACAAGUUAAAACUUUCAACAACGGAUCUCUUGGUUCUGGCAUCGAUGAAGAACGCAGCGAAAUGCGAUAAGUAAUGCGAAUUGCAGAAUUCCGUGAGUCAUCGAAUCUUGAACGCACAUUGCGCCCGCCAGCAUUCUGGCGGGCAUGCCUGUUCGAGCGUCAUUUCAACCCUCAGGCCCUGCCUGGCGUUGGAGGACUGCGCACGCAGCCUCCCAAAGCGAGCGGCGGCGGCGCCCCGAAACCGAACGCAGUAGUUACUUCUCGUUCUGGGUCCGGGUCGUUGUCCUGCCGGAAAACCCCCCCUCUAAUCAAUGGUUGACCUCGAAUCAGGUAGGAAUACCCGCUGAACUUAAGCAUAUCAAUAAGCGGAGGAAAAGAAACCAACAGGGAUUGCCUCAGUAACGGCGAGUGAAGCGGCAACAGCUCAAAUUUGAAAUCUGGCCUCCUGGUCCGAGUUGUAAUUUGCAGAGGAUGCUUCGGGCGCGGUGCCUUCCAAGUCCCCUGGAACGGGGCGCCGGAGAGGGUGAGAGCCCCGUACGGUUGGCGGCCAAGCCUGUGUGAAGCUCCUUCGACGAGUCGAGUAGUUUGGGAAUGCUGCUCUAAGCGGGAGGUAGACCCCUUCUAAAGCUAAAUAUUGGCCAGAGACCGAUAGCGCACAAGUAGAGUGAUCGAAAGAUGAAAAGCACUUUGAAAAGAGGGUUAAACAGCACGUGAAAUUGUUGAAAGGGAAGCGCUUGAGACCAGACGUGCGCCGGGGUGCUCAGCGGGCGUUCUCGCCCGUGCACUCGCCCCGGCGCAGGCCAGCGUCGGUUUGGGCGGGGGGAUAAAGGCGUCUGGAAUGUGGCUCCCCCGGGAGUGUUAUAGCCAGGCGUGCCAUGCCUCCGCCCGGACCGAGGUACGCGUUCUGCAAGGACGCUGGCGUAAUGGUCCCCAGCGACCCGUCUUGAAACACGGACC